CUCAGACUCUCAACCCAGAUCUGAUCUAAAAUUUUCAUGUCAUCACUCUCAGAAAUCAGAUCUCGAUUUCUCGAUCUCUAUCUCCAUUCUCCCUCCUCUUCGUUUACUCCCUAUCUCAAAAAGUCAAACCGACUAAAAAUUUUUUCCGAUCUCAAACUUUUCGACAAAUCAAACGGAAACAAUGGUCAUAUCCUUUUCUCUCACCUCUCUCUCCAAAACCCUGAAACCCUCUCCACCUAAAACUUUGAUCUUCAACCUCCUUAACACUACUCAUGCCAAAAGAAAACAUCAUAUUCUGUUUCUAUUUGUAAUUGUACGGCAGGUGAAGGAACCCAAUCAGCCUCUGUCAUAUCCCAAUCAGGUGAAGGAACCCCAAUCAAAUGGUGUCAUCAUCAUCUAUCCCUUUAUCCCAAAAUCUUCUGUUUGUUUCUUCAAGUCGAAGACUCGGACUCCGACGGAGCUCGUCGACCAAACCACCGAGACUAGCUAAACCAAGCGCCUCGAAAAAGUAGGGUUAUGUAUUGUUAAUUUUAGUCAUGUUAACUUCGGUUAUUAUCCGAACAACGUAAUUUGAUAAUUCGGUUAAUGGAUG
rnacentral:lncRNA from 1 species